GUUACAGUGAGGAAGGCUGAACCACAGUGAGUUAAGCUAAGCCACACUGGUCUCCUGGCUGUGCUUCUUAGGUCAUCUUGGUCACUAGUAGAAUAUUGUUGCACACUAUCAUACUGCUCCUUUCAUGUAUGGGACUAAUACUUCUGGAAGAAUAUUUUUAAGUUAACUCUACCCCCAAUGUGGGGUUCCAACUCACAACCCCGAGAUCAAGAGUCGCAUGAUCCACCAACUUAGCCAGCAAAGCACCCUUAAAAGAAGUUCAUUAAAGUAAAUUCAAUUCCUUUGCAAGUAUUCAAUUGAAAUAAAUUAAAAUCUUAAGUAGAGAAUUGUAACUACCAAAAUGAUCUUCAGCACCUACUACACAGUUCACUUCACAUUCAGGGCUGCGGACAGUGCUCCUGAGCUUUGUCCUCAUGAAGCUUAUCAAAAAACACAGAAUAUGAGGGGCACCUGGGUGGCUCAGUCGGUGGAUCGUCCAACGUCAGCUCAGGUCAUGAUCUCACAGUUUGCGACUUUGAGCCCCACAUUGGGCUCUGUGUGGGCAGUUCAGAGCCUGGAGUCUGCUUCAAAUUCUGUGUCUCCCUCUCUCUCUGCCCCUCCCCCACUCAUAUUCUGUCUCUUUCUCAAAAAUAAAUAUUCAAGAAAUUAAAAAAAACAACAACACAGAAUAUGAUGGAAAUGAAGACGAAGGUCUAGACAUGUACAAAUGCAAUUAAGCACCUUUGGCCUGAUGCAAAGUGUAUAAUAGACCUGAAGCAAGAAGAAGAAAUAUUUCUUCAUAUAUAAAGGUACUUCUGAAAUUAUGUAUUGACAAUUAGAAGAUAAAAGUGAAAAUAUAAAAAAAUUACAUCGACAUAUAGAAAAGAGCAUCAACGGGUUUUGCAAAAGGCUUGUAAGACAUAGUUGUUGUUUUUUUUUUACAUCUAAGCUUAUGAAGUUAUUUUAUACAUGUUUGAAGAGAAAUAUAAAACUUAUUUUUAGGCCAAAUGUUCAUGAACAAAAAAGUUUAGUAAACCAGGUAUUAGAAUUUGGGCUGGAAAUAUUAAUGUUAUUUUAGUUUCUGUGAGUGAUUUCCAGGACCACUUUGACAAGUUAAGGAUGAUAGUAAGGAAUAACUACAAAUUAUUACAGGUUUUAUGACAUAAUUGAUAGUGUUUUCCAAACUUAAAGCCUAAGCCAUGUAUCUAAGAGUGCCAGAUAAGUCUCUCACUUUAUUUCAAAGUCCUUCAUAGUAGUGCUUUAAAGGAUCUUAUAGCAGUAGACUCAGUAGUUAAAAUUCAUACUCUCUGUGUCACACUUACGAGGCAGAAAAUAAUUCAUGGCUAGACAUCCCAAAUUUCGAGUCAGGUUCUUUCCAGACACAUCUGUGCACCAAAUGAAAAUGCAAAGCAUUUCAUUGCAUAGUACAUCAUUUGAUUGGGGAAUAAAUGGAAGAUUUAUUGCUAAUAGUUUUUUUUGCUGUUCACAUUUAAAUACAUAAGAUAAAAUGGAAAGGAAGUUCUGGUUUGGUACUGCUUUCAUUACAAUUGCCAAAAGCAGUGAUCUAUAGUUCCCCCCAAAAAAAGAAGAAGAAGAAGAAGAAGGAGUCAUCACUCCUUCAGCUAAUAGUAGAUAAACAUUUAAAAUGUUUAUCUUAGGGGCACCUGGGUGGCUCAGUCGCUUAAGCAUCCGACUUUGGCUCAGGUCAUGAUCUCACAGUUGAUGGGUUUGAGCCCUGCCUCAGGCUCUGUGCUGACAGUUCAGAGCCUGGAGCCUGCUUCAGAUUCUCUCCCUCUCUCUGUCCCUCCCCCACUUGCUCUCUCUUUCUCUCUCUCUUUCUCUCAAGAAUAAACAUUUUUAAAAAAGAAAUUAAAAUUUUUAUCUUAAAAAUGAACACUCUUACAUGAGUAUAUGUCUUUCCCAGUGAACUUUCUCUUAUUCUGUAUACUAACCAUCCUUGCUGUUGAGUAGAAAACUUGCAAAAUUUCUCCUACAUACCUUAAUCUUUACCACCAUUUAAAGAGAAGAAGAGGGGCUCCUGGGUGGCUCAGGCAGUUAAGCAUCUGACUUCAGUUCAGAUCAUGAUCUCAUGGAUUGUCAGUUCAGGCCCCAUGUAGGGCUCUGUGCUGACAGCUCAGAGCCUGGAGCCUGCUUCGGAAUCUGUGUCUCCCUUUCUCUCUACCCCUCCCCUGCUCACAUUCUCUCUUUCUCUCUCUCCCUCAAAAAACAAAAACAAAAACAAAAAAAAAAAACAAAAAAAAAACAUUAAAAAAACUAAAGAGAAGAAGAAAUUGUGAUAAUAGCUUAAUCUAGCAAGUUUGAAACAAAUCCACCAGAAUAAGUGUAAAGUGUAAGAUAAUUAAAAAUUACAUUGAGUAAAGAAAGGAAAAAUAUUGUCUGUUCUGAAAUUUAAGACAAGAUGGGAAAUGACUUUUUAAAGCUUUUGAUUUUGAAAAGUUAUAGAGAAACAGGAAGUUGCAAAGAUAGAAUAGAGAAGUAUCAUGUACCCUUCACUCAGUUCCCCCAAUGGUUAUAACUUACAUAACUGUAGUAUAAUAUGAAAACCAGAAAAAUUGACAUGAGCACAAUGUGUGUGUAGUUCUAUAACAUUUAAUCACAUGUGUAGAUUUGUGUAAUGACCACCAUCAUCAAGACACAGAACUAUGCCAUCACCACAAAGAUCUCUUUCUCUUGCUAUCCUUUUAUAGCACCCUUCUGCCACCAUCCAUAAUCUCUGACAACCACUAAUUUGUUCUCCACCUCUAUAAUUUUGUCAUCUCAAGAAUGUUAUAUAAAUGGAAUCAUACAGUAUGUGAUACUUAGAGAUUGGGGUUUCUUCUUCUUCUUCUUCUUCUUCUUCUUCUUCUUCUUCUUCUCACUCAGCAUGAUGCCCUCAAGAUUCAUCCAAAUUGUUGCAUUAUGAAUAGUUCAUUCCUUUUUAUUAGAACAAAUAUGCAGAAUUGCCAGUGCUGGUUGUAUGAUAAGAGUAUGUUUAGUUUUUAAGAAAACUAAGCUGCUUUCCGGACUGGCUGUACAUUCUCACUAGUAAUUGUGCAAGAUCCAGUUUCUCUGUAUCCCCUCCUGCAUUUGGUAUUGUCACUAUUUGUACUGUAACUGUACAAAUAGAUGUGUGGUUAUAUCUCAUCAGGGUCUUAAACUGCAUUUCCCUAAUGCUAAUGAUUUUUAACACCUUUUCAUGCAUUUAUUUCCAUCUGUAUAUUUCAUCAAAAGGCCUAAGUCUAUUUAUUUUAAUGUAUUCAUAGACACCAAAUGAUAUUACACAAUACCAAGUAAUUUCUUCAAAUAGUAAAUGUCGUUAUUAAUCAAAAAGGCUAAUUUUCUGACUAAGGCUCCUUUGUGACAUAAUCCAAGGUAUUGUAUAGAAUAAAAUUACAGUGCAUAUACCAUCCUAUAAUUAAUAAACAUUAAUUAAAGUUUAAAAAUACUUUCAAAGCAGUAAAAAAGUACAAAAAUAUAAUAUCCCCAAACAAAAUGAAUCAAAGAAAAUAAUCAAAUACUCAAUGUUUUCAAAAUAAUUUAAAAACAGUACAUAAGCUUAUAAUUGUAGGAGAACAAAGGAAAGGCUUAUAAUGAUGCUUUGUCUGAAAAAAAAGCAUUUGUACAGAAUGAUAUGAUAUAAUGUACAUAUUCAUAAUAAUCAGAAGGUGAGAAAGGAUAUUAUUUAAUAUAUAUUUCUAAAUAGGAUUAUUUUUUAAGUAGCUUUCUUUACACUUGUUUUUACUUUUUAUUAACAACACAAGGAAAGCUACCAGAAGUCUUGGUAUUGAAUGAUAAGUAGACUUAUCACAGGGGAAAUAAAUGUCGACAUGAUAGUUAUUGAAGCUAUAUUUUGUUUUUGUUUUUUUUGUUUUUUUUGUUUUUUUUUCAAUAUAUGAAAUUUAUUGUCAAAUUGGUUUCCAUACAACACCCAGUGCUCAUCCCAAAAGGUGCCCUCCUCGAUACCCAUCACCCACCCUCCCCUCCCUCCCACCCCCAUCAACCCUCAGUUUGUUCUCAGUUUUUAAGAGUCUCUUAUGCUUUGGCUCUCUCCCACUCUAACCUCUUUUUUUUUUUCCUUCCCCUCCCCCAUGGGUUUCUGUUAAGUUUCUCAGGAUCCACAUAAGAGUGAAAACAUAUGGUAUCUGUCUUUCUCUGUAUGGCUUAUUUCACUUAGCAUCACACUCUCCAGUUCCAUCCACGUUGCUACAAAGGGCCAUAUUUCAUUCUUUCUCAUUGCCACGUAGUACUCCAUUGUGUAUAUAAACCACAAUUUCUUUAUCCAUUCAUCAGUUGAUGGACAUUUAGGCUCUUUCCAUAAUUUGGCUAUUGUUGAGAGUGCUGCUAUAAACAUUGGGGUACAAGUGCCCCUAUGCAUCAGUACUCCUGUAUCCCUUGGGUAAAUUCCUAGCAGUGCUAUUGCUGGGUCAUAGGGUAGGUCUAUUUUUAAUUUUNUUUGCAUUCCCACCAACAGUGCAAGAGGGUUCCCGUUUCUCCACAUCCUCUCCAGCAUCUAUAGUCUCCUGAUUUGUUCAUUUUGGCCACUCUGACUGGCGUGAGGUGAUAUCUGAGUGUGGUUUUGAUUUGUAUUUCCCUGAUAAGGAGCGCCGUUGAGCAUCUUUUCAUGUGCCUGUUGGCCAUCCGGAUGCCUUCUUUAGAGAAGUGUCUAUUCAUGUUUUCUGCCUAUUUCUUCACUGGGUUAUUUAUUUUUUGGGUGUGGAGUUUGGUGAGCUCUUUAUAGAUUUUGGAUACUAGCCCUUUGUCCGAUAUGUCAUUUGCAAAUAUCUUUUCCCAUUCCGUUGGUUGCCUUUUAGUUUUGUUGAUUGUUUCCUUUGCUGUGCAGAAGCUUUUUAUCUUCAUAAGGUCCCAGUAAUUCAUUUUUGCUUUUAAUUCCCUUGCCUUUGGGGAUGUGUUGAGUAAGAGAUUGCUACGGCUGAGGUCAGAGAGGUUGAAGCUAUAUUUUGAAUGCAGUUGAUAAUUCUCCUGAAUUAUUGAAUUUACUUGGGUGAAAAUAUUCAUUCUACCAACAUUUAUUAAGCACCAACUGUAUACCUUUAUUAAGCAAGUACUGUGUAAGGCUCUUGGAAUUCAUUGGAAAUAAAUAUUCUCUGAUUUUAAGAGUCUUAAAAUAUAGUAGGGAGAAACAGAAUUACAAAAAGCUUAAGUGCACUAAUAUUUCCUUGAAAUGCUAAAAGAAAAAGGAAUGAGAUCUUAUGGUCCAAGAUAGUUAACUCUCUGAACUUACAAUAAAACUAUUCUGAAUACUUAUUUGAUAGAAUUUACUUACAUAGCACUUUAAUUUCUAAUUUAUUUUCACUUAGAAAUUUCAAAUUCAUGAAAAUUACAUAGAAAAAUGGGAGAGAGAUGAAAAGAUGAGAGUUGAUAACAACUUUCUGUACCUAAUAGUUAUGAAUUGUAUUAUUUAUUUUCGCUCUAUUAAUUAAUCCAAAAGGUUUGAUUUGGUUCUGGCUAAUGGAAAUGCUAUGUAUAUCUGUUGUAUACUAUAAAUAUUUACAUAUUUCCAUUAUUUAAUAAUUAAAUACUGUAUAAAUUCCAGACUGUACAUGUGAGCUAAUAUAGUCACACAUUAAAAUGUGACAUAGUAUUCUAAUAUUAGAAUUCAUGUAUGAGAAUAUGAAUGGUCAUUUCUCAUAAAUUUGAUAGUGUUUCCCAGAACUGAAGACUCCAAGAAAAAAAAAAAAGUACAUGCAUAAAGUACUCUCUAUAGACCUGGAGGGAUUUUACAAGAAAAUAAUGGGAAGAAUUGUUUCCAAUUCCACUCAGGACUGAAUAAGAGACAUGAAAGAAAAGACGCUAUUUGGAUAGAAGAUUUCUUAAAUGCUUCAAAUUUGAAAGGGAUAGACGAAGUGUGUUAAAAAUAUCCACCACCUGAAAAAUACCCGAAAUAGAAUUUUCCUUUUAUAGGUCUAAUUAGCCAGGAAAAUGGGCUGGAUUCCUUCUUAAGGUCACUCUAACCUCUAAGGAAUCUAUGUCUUCUCUUCAAUAAGAACAGAGCCUCCUUCUCUCUUACCUCCAUCCUGAUCAGGCAACGUAAUUGGCAUUCUGUGAUUGCUUUCUUAAUGCUAAUACCACAAUAAACAGUGCCAUCUACUGACUAAAUUCUAUAAUUGACUACCUCUCAGAAUAGUAAAUACUCAUAUUUGUUAUCUAUGUUUACAUGAGUCACGUGUUAUAUUGUACUUAUUUAAAGCUACCAGGAAUGUAUAUAUCCUCUAUCUUGAUCUUCCUGUUUUUUGUUUUUGUUUUACAGAUGAGAAGGUUGAGAUCCAAAAAGAUCAAUCAAUUUGCCCAAAAUUUUGACAGGCGUUUUUCAGUGAGCACCACCAUGAACUAAACCCUGGGAAUAGAAAGAAAUUUGACACUUUGGAGGUGGAAAUCAAUCUGUAAAGUUGUCCAUCCAUUGGGGAAAAUAUGUGACAAAUAUGAUUAAUGACAAAAGUAUGAAAUCCAUAUAGCAAGGCAAGUUGAGAAAUAGCUGAUGUAAAGUUUUAGGAGAAGGAAAUGCUCACAUGUAGUUUUAAGUUAAAAAAAUGAAAGAGGAAAUACUAAAUUAAGGUUAUUUUGUUCUUCUCUUUUUAACAGAAGGUUGAAACUAUUUGUGGAUUGUUACAGAAGCUUGAUUUGUUCUCAAAAAUGUAUGAUAUAUAAAAUCAACUCAUUUUGCUUUAAG
rnacentral:lncRNA from 1 species